rnacentral:lncRNA from 1 species
GUAUUUAGGGGACAGGAACACACUGGCAAAGAUUGUUGGAGCAGGCCCGACCAUAUUGGCAGUAGCAAAAAGGAUUAUGCACAAUCAUCAUGCGGUAUGCAGGCCCACAAAUAUGUGCAUCAGCGGCGUUCACAAGCGUGGACGUUCCAGGAUCUGAGGUAGAGCGCUACCCACCCGUGCUCUGGGACGAUGUAGACCCCUACGUUUUAUAAUAAA